UAAUUUAUUUGAGUCAGAUUUCAUUUGUCUAUGAUAGACCCAUAUAUGACUGCUCAGAAUCGUCUGUUAUUGUAAGUCUGACUAUAUCAUUAAUAUUAAAAAACAAAAAACAACUACUAUGUAAAUAAUAA
rnacentral:pre_miRNA from 13 species